rnacentral:rRNA from 1 species
UACGGGAGGCAGCAGUGGGGAAUAUUGGCACAAUGGGCGCAAGCCUGAUCCAGCCAUGCCGCGUGAGUNAUGAAGGCCCUAGGGUUGUAAAGCUCUUUCACCGGUGAAGAUAAUGACGGUAACCGNAGAAGAAGCCCCGGCUAACUUCGUGCCAGCAGCCGCGGUAAUACGAAGGGGGCUAGCGUUGUUCGGAUUUACUGGGCGUAAAGCGCACGUAGGCGGACUUUUAAGUCAGGGGUGAAAUCCCGGGGCUCAACCCCGGAACUGCCUUUGAUACUGGAAGUCUUGAGUAUGGUAGAGGUGAGUGGAAUUCCGAGUGUAGAGGUGAAAUUCGUAGAUAUUCGGAGGAACACCAGUGGCGAAGGCGGCUCCCUGGACCAUUACUGACGCUGAGGUGCGAAAGCGUGGGGAGGCAAUACAGGAUUAGAUACCCUGGUAGUACCACGCCGUAAACGAUGAAUGUUAGCCGUNGGGGAGUUNACU